UGUUUCGUGUUUGCAGUCUGAGCUGUAGUUUGGCGUUUUUUGGAGCAUGUCUGGAGCGGACCUAGAGUAGAUAUGUGAUUAUGUCUUAAAGGGAGGGGCUUGCGUGGGUAUUCAGUUUGGUUUUAUCAUUGAGUGUAGUGGAGGACUGACUGCAGACUGGCUCCCUCUCCUCACAUACUCGACCCAAGAGCUCUACUUUGUCCCGUAAAGAUCCGCAGGGCACAAUCAUGGAGGAAAUGGACUUCAAGAGGCGCCAGGAGCUGAGGAGGCAGAAGAGAGAGGAGAUGCGCCUGGAGGCCGAACGGUUGGCGAGGAAUGAUGAUGAUGAGGAGGAGGCGGCCCGCGAGAGGAGGCGCAGGGCACGCCAAGACAGACUGAUGACCAGAGAGAGUGAGGAUCACAGCGGACAGCCAGACAGCCUGGUCAUGACCAACAGCCACAGUGUCUCAGAAACUGUGAGCAGCUCUUACGGAGGAGUUGGCGGAGACGACGAGGACCAGGCCUUGCAGGAGCGUAUGGCCAAACGCGAGGAGAGACGGCUGAGACGCAUGCAGGAGGCGCUAGAGAGGCAGAAGCAGCUGGACGCCAUGACCUCGGAGGGCAACGACAGCAUCGCCACGGAGAAGAACAUCGCAGAGGAGGAGAGGCCUUCCUCCUUGCGCAGGGGUCGCUACCGUGACCACGAGGAGGAGGAGGGGGAGGAGGUGGCAGAGAGGUACAGCUCGAGGAGAGAGAAAGAGCGAGAGGAGCCAAGGGAGGAACAAGAGGCUGCUCCCGAGGUUGAAGAGGAAGCAGACGAGGGUGUAGAGGAAGAGGAGGAGGAGCAAGUGGAAGUGGUGGAGGAGAACCCGAGAAGGUCUUACUUGAGAGAAAUGGAAUCUACUGAAGAACCUAUAACUGAAACCAAGGAGCUCACUGAAAAAGAGAAACAUUCGGUAGUCAGUGAAAAUUCAAACCAGGUCAAGUCAGCUAAUUUAGAGGCCGAGGAGGAUGCAGGGGCAUCAGAGGAGGCUGGAGAGGUACCUGAGGAUGAUUACGUAGAUUAUUCUUCAGAGAACAAGUCUAUGGCACUCAGAAAUGAGAGUGAAGAGGACAAUGAGGUAUCUGAGAUACUGCACUCAGGGGAUAAUGAGGUGGAGGAGAGAGGCGGGGCCAGGGAGGAGCAGAGGAAGCAGAAUGGAGGGCUACACGAGGACGUGACUCCCAUACAGCACAGGAAACCCGAGAGGACCCUCAGCCGCGGCAGUGUGCGUUCCCCUGAGGUGUCCGCGGGUGACGACCAGGACGACGCGGCCCGCCUGGAGGCAGAGUGCAAGCUGGAGGAGCUCAAGCGUCGCCGUGACGAUGCGGAGAGCGAGGAGUUCGAGAGGAUGAGGCAGAAGCAGCAGGAGGCUGAAGUCGAGCUGGAGGAGCUGAAGAGGAAGAGGGAGGAGAGGAGGAAGGUGCUAGAGGAAGAGGAGAUACAGAAGAAGCAGGAGGAGGCCGAGAGAAAAGCCAGAGAGGAGGAUGAAAAGAGGAAGAUGAAGGAGGAGAUUGAAAGGCGGAGAGCAGAGGCAGCUGAGAAGAGACAGAAGGUGGAGGACGUGGACGGAGAGGGCAGACCCUUCAAGUGUGUCAGCCCUCGAGGCUCCUCUCUGAAGAUCGGAGAGAGAGCAGAGUUCCUGAACAAGUCAGCACAGAAAAGCACAGCAAAGGCAGCUCAUUCUCCUGUGGUGUCCAAGAUAGACAACAGGCUGGAGCAGUACACCUCGGCCGCUCAGAGAGAGAACAAGGAGUCUCGAUCCCCUCGCUCCGGAGCCGCGGAUCUGCCCAUGGUCACCGACGGCAUACGAAACAUCAAGAGCAUGUGGGAGAAAGGCAACGUGUUCACCUCGCCCGGAAGUGGCGGGAGCACGUUCAAGGAAGCAGCUGUGAUGAAGACAGGCGUGGCUGGUCGCAUCAACGACUGGCUGAAUAAAACCCCGGAGAGCGGCAAAACGUCAGGAGGAAGGCCAGCGGACCUGAAGCCUGUUGAUGUCACCAAUAAGAGGAGUCUAUGGGAAAACAAAGGAGCCUCUCCAACCAAGAAUUCUCAUAGCUAGUUGACCUCAGCGUUUAAUCUGGAAAAACCUGGAGAGGUGGCGGGCAGAGGAGAGACCAAAUCAGUCGCUAACGGUAUGGGACAUUAAUGUGUGGAAGGAGCCACUAAAGCUGGGGACCACGACAAUCCGAAACUCUUCCUUUUUGACUUUGUCUUAAGAACCAAAUAAAGUUCACAUUCCCAAGAAGGACCCCACAUAAACGGAGGGAUAGCAGAGAGGCUGUCCGAGCACUGUACUGAAACAGCAUUCUAUUUUUGUACGGUUGCCACGUAUAGUGCAUUUGCACAAUUAUUAUUUUUGCUUUCUAAAAGAAACAAAAUGCUGUGAAAUUUGGACAUUUGUAAUAAGUUUAAUUAAUAACUUUUUUUUUAUAAUCCUUCCAGAAAGAAAAGAAACAAAUAAAUUGAGAUUUAUCUGAUGUGCCGACAGUUUUGUUAGACGUUGAGUAGAUGAGUUAAAAGUUUCCACAUUCCAAAGAGAUGGGUGAAAUCUGUUCUCUCCCUCGCACGUCUCUUUUUUUUAUUUAUAUUUAAAGCAAAAGCUUCACACAUUCCUAUUUUAUUCAACAUUCACCCGUUCAGGAUAGAAAUAUAAGCACUUCUAGAAUUUAGCUAAUUUCACUUGUAUUAUGUCUUACCAAUAGUGCAGCAAUGGUCUGAGUAAUAUAUGUUAGCACAUGUGAUGUUUUUUGAAUAUCAUACUGUAUCUUAUAUAACGACUUUAUACUCAUAGCAAAAAUAUUUUUUGCAUUGUUUUUGUAUCCAGAAACUAUUCACCAACAGGCAGUUCAUUUAGGAGGUGAGAGGAGUGUUGACGAAGGCCCUUAUGACUUUUAUUAUCCUCUGUCAUUUUAUUUAUGUUUUCAUGUGUCCUUUUAUAUUUCUAGCUGUUUGUAGCUUUUGUACCCGAUGAUCACUUUCAAAUCUUCAGACAUUCCUCUUCAUGAGCAGGUGCACCAGUUGUCUCUGCUGCUUUAAAGCUGUAGGGUCUUUUUUUUUUUUUUAUCUAUGCUCACUCUUAUGCGCAUCAAUAUCUUUUUUAAGUAAAGGCAUUCAAAUUAAAAUCAGUGUGCCUAUAAGCAUAUAGCAAGAUGUUAGUACAUAACAAGGAUAUUUACCACUAUGUAACUCUUCUGGCCUUAGGAUUGCAAUGAAAGCAUUUUCGACAGCUGAGGUUCAUCACAUGACGGCCUCAAAGCAACUCAGUAUGAUAUAAAGACUUGUGAUUUCUUCUUCACUGACAUCUCCUUAACACAUACAUUCCUUUCCAUAAGUGUUGCACAAUGCAAGCUUGGAUGAUAUCUUUUGCUGGGGCAUUAAAUCGACCAAUGGUUCUGCACAAAAGUCUGACAAUCACAUUCCAUGGCUCCUGGAAAGAGUACAGGGGUCUUGACCAAAAUAUUUUGAAGUGUGAUUUAAUGUGACAUUUUUUGUAAUACAGUGGUUUCUUAUUGCCAUAUUGUUCUUUUUUUUUCUUUUUUUUUUUUUACAACUUUGUGUCCAUUUUGUAUUUCUUUUUAUUCCAUGUUUAACCAGACACUUGUUGUUUGUGUAGCGCUAAAGCCUAUGCAAAUCACACUAUCUGUAGUCUCUCUAAGCACUCCCAAUGUCACACAAGUGGGCAGUUUCCAACUGGAUAAAUGUUUCAAACAUUGUACCCAUGACUCAAUAACAGCAAUAAAGACAUUGAGGUAUUCAA